AUUUGGUGAGUAGGGAGACAGGGGAUUAGGUGAGUAGGAGAGCUCUGUAACAGACUAGCAAGAUGAGAAUGAAAGCCUGACAAUUAAGAUGAGGAUAGCAUGGACACAGUGAUGCUACGGCAGAAUCAAAAAUAUUUGAAGGCCAA